CUGUUUUAACUUUGAGUUGUGUUAAUUUUGAGUGUUUUUUUUAGUUUUAUAAACAUUUUAAAUAGUUAUAUAGUUUUAGUUUUAUAAACAUUUUAAUUAGUUGUAGUUUUAGUUUUAUAAACGUUUUAAUAUAAAGUUAUCAUUUAGAAGAAUACAGACAGGUGUGAACAAAAUGCCCAGAUUGAAGUCAUUUAAUAAAAAAUCUACGAAACGUAGUCACACAUUGACUAAAUACCAGAAAAAUAAAAAA
rnacentral:lncRNA from 1 species